CACAACAGUAGUUUGAGGUACUUCAUUAGGAUAUUGCUGGGUUGACUCAAAGGAUUGAGAUCUUAGAGAGAUUGCAGAAUUAGCAUACUAUCUUAUUUUCAAAUAUUCAUCAUUUGACUAUGUAGGCUGUCCGAGUUGCCAGAAAGGUUGAGGACGCCAUCAUUUCUGAGCAGGACAGUGUCAGAAUUCUUAUUGCUGCUAUGCAAAGGAUGGAGUCAUAGAUUAGUCUGCUUAUUGCUCGGAUAUCCCCAUCCCAAUCU
rnacentral:lncRNA from 1 species